rnacentral:rRNA from 1 species
UACGUAGGGUGCGAGCGUUGUCCGGAAUUAUUGGGCGUAAAGAGCUUGUAGGUGGCUCGUCGCGUCGGGAGUGAAAACCCGCGGCUUAACCGCGGGCCUGCUUUCGAUACGGGCGGGCUAGAGUUCGGCAGGGGAGACUGGAAUUCCUGGUGUAGCGGUGGAAUGCGCAGAUAUCAGGAGGAACACCGGUGGCGAAGGCGGGUCUCUGGGCCGAUACUGACACUGAGAAGCGAAAGCGUGGGGAGCGAACAGG